UACGUAGGGUGCGAGCGUUGUCCGGAAUUAUUGGGCGUAAAGAGCUCGUAGGCGGCCUGUCGCGUCGGAUGUGAAAGCCCGGGGCUUAACCCCGGGUCUGCAUUCGAUACGGGCAGGCUAGAGUGUGGUAGGGGAGAUCGGAAUUCCUGGUGUAGCGGUGAAAUGCGCAGAUAUCAGGAGGAACACCGGUGGCGAAGGCGGAUCUCUGGGCCAUUACUGACGCUGAGGAGCGAAAGCGUAGGGAGCGAACAGG
rnacentral:rRNA from 1 species